AAAACUAAAUCAAAAAGUAAUAUGAAAACAAAACUGCUUUGGACAAGGGUAAAAAAUACAUACAAAAAGUUAAUGGGUGUCCUGCCGGGAAACAUACUUUAUAAAGUGCAGAUCUUAGACUCGUUGUCCUUCCGGUCAAGGUUGAAGGGUUUUGUUUUUUUUCUCAUAAAAUGCAAUGUGAUUGGAAGAUUAUGUUUGAGGCCAAGUUUUUUUUUAUGGUCAUGUCAAAAUGGUGAAUAUUUCCCAACAAACACACAGUACUCAUUAAACUGUGAGACAUUCAACAUAACAGGGAUGGAAAAAAAAACAUAAAAAUCCUAUAGCUUUUUACAUCGUCAAUAUUGCCCAAGUACAUCGCCCUAAUGUUAUCCUUUUUUUUCUCAAUUAAGAAAAUAAUGCAAGGCAAACAUAUUCUUGAUCUCUAUAAAUCCUUAAUACAUCCAAAGCACUGAAUACCAACAAGAGGCAAACACAGGACUCAGAAUAAAAAUACAACUACAGUAUAAAGAUAAAUUCUAUUACUGAAACUUCAAGGCACAAGACUAUGUUAAAUAGACCAUGAACUUUCUACCAUGGUGGGUGGAUCUGGAAUCUAUUUCUUGAAGUUUAACUUCUGUUUCGUUUGAUUUUAAAUUGUCCUCCUUGCACAAUUCAAAGUGCUGCAUUUUAGUCAUAAGGGUAAAUUUAUUUUACUUCACUCCUACUGUUACACAAAUCAGAGACAUACUAAAGGAGAAAACUCAUUUCCGAUCUGCUGGGUAUACUAUCAUACUAUUGCUAUGAAGAUAAAAUGGUCUAUUUCUAACGAUUUAUAAUUGAAAAAAAAAAAAAAAAAUUCUACUAAUAAAAAUAAAUCUAACAGAAAUCUACAAUUUACUCUAGCCACAAGUAGUGGCGUUAACAGCCCAAACUCAGCUACCAUCAGUUAAAUCAAAAAAAUACUUCAAUGAAAUAAAUUUGUUCAUAUCAAACAGACCGAUGUGCACAACCUUCAUUAAACAGAACACAUUCAGUAUUUUAUACCUCAUGAAACCCUUCGGAUUCGGUUGGGCUCAGCUCUUAGAGUGCUGUUUGAAAACAUCUUAUAUAUAUAAUAGUAAAGGGCAAGCAAUGUCCUAUCUUCUAAUGGCAAUCAUGCAUAUUGAUACAUGUUCACGUACAUAGCAUGUUUUUUUGGCUACAGGGACACAAGGACAUUCCAAAGCAUAUUUCACUGCCAGAGGCACAAAAACCCCAAACAAGUGAGGAAAUAAAUCAAACAAACCAACAUAUAUAAAUAAUAAAAGUAAUCAUCUUAUUCUGUCUUUACCCAUUUGUAGGGCUCCAUUUUUGUCAGUGGGCUUUGAGCGCUACAAAAAGCAAGAAGUUCAUAAAGCAGAGGGUUUUUAACAAUACAUCAUUUCUAGGUGGACACAAAUGCCCAGCUGAUGGAAAAACAGGAAAAUGAACAAUGAAACCCUAGUUACAACACACACACACACACACACACCAGUGCACGUUCUACCUAUGAAAAAUGACCGAAUAAAAUCCAAGCAUUUGAGUAAAUUCACCAUCCACGUUGCUUCAUUGGGAUAAAGAGAUCUGAAGAACACAC